GCGAGCGUUGUCCGGAUUUAUUGGGCGUAAAGAGCGUGUAGGCGGCCAGGUAGGUCUGCUGUGAAAACUCGAGGCUCAACCUCGAGACGUCGGCGGAAACCAUCUGGCUAGAGUCCGGAAGAGGAGAGUGGAAUUCCUGGUGUAGCGGUGAAAUGCGCAGAUAUCAGGAAGAACACCCGUGGCGAAGGCGGCUCUCUGGGACGGUACUGACGCUGAGACGCGAAAGCGUGGGGAGCGAACAGG
rnacentral:rRNA from 1 species